CAGGACCUUCUCACCCCUCUACUCAUGCCGGUACUUCUACCCGUGGUCGAGGCAGACGUGGUCAAGGUCAUACCCAUGGAUUUGAUCCUACAUCUCCUCAUCAUAUCUCAGACUCUUCUAAUUCUGAUGCCUCCAGCCAUGAUAUAUAUUAGAUCUAGAAUAGUUAGUCUUUAAUGUCUAGGAUCUAUCUUAUGGCCUUUGUAUUUGUUGGCUGAUUGACUCUUAGAUAGUUGUUAUCCAU
rnacentral:lncRNA from 1 species